GUGGGUACAGCUCAGUGGUAGAGCAUGUGCUUAGCAUAUACAAGGUCCUGGGUUCAGUCCCCAAUACCUCCA
rnacentral:tRNA from 1 species